AAGCCUGAAGAGCUGAAAGAAGAAUCUGUCCCUGAUGGAGAGCAGAAAGCAGCUGAAAUCAGCGAGCAGGCUGACACCACAGGUGGAGACAAGACAGAUGGUGGCACCAAACCGGCCAAUGGGACGGCAGACAGCAACUCCAAAAGCCAAUCAGGCUCCAACAAAAAGGUACAAGAGCUUUGUAGAAUAUAACAUACAUAUCUCCUUUAGCAAGGUAACAACGACAGACCGGUUGUUUCUAUACAUUUACACUUUUAAGAGCCACUUUUUAUUUCAAUCCAAAGAAAAACUUAACACAGUCUACGCUGAUGAUUUAUUCUAUUAGUCUUUCUGAAACUACAGACCUUAAUAUAUUAUACAGCAUUUUACCUGUGUGCUGUGUGACAUCACAGGAAGGUGAUUAAAUGAACUCUCUGUCUCUGUCUAUCAGCUGUCUUUCUUCAGACGGCUGUCCUUCUCCAGGUCUAAGCAGACCAGCAGGGACCAAACCCCAGCGCAGGGAGCCAUCAGCGGGGACGCAGCCAUCCGGGGAGAGCCUCUCUCCUCCGCUGCUGCUGCUGCUACUGGGAGCAGCGAGCCAGAGACAAACAGAGGCGGAGCACAGCAGAGAUCUCUGCCGUCCGGAGCCAGGGGCCCUCGCUCUGGAGCCUGUACCAUGCUCUGAUCCCAGCGACUAAACCCUCAGGUGGCCUCGGUUAUCUAGAAAAAGUCCAAAUUUAAUUUAAAGAGCGCUUUAAAGAACAAACCAAGUUUGUGCCAAAGUGCUUUACAAACAACCUCAUUGAGCAAAAGUAAAAAUCAUGAGACAAAAGUACAUUUGGGCUGCAAUUAAUCAUUUUUUCUUUGUUGAUUAAUCUGUGGAUUAUUUUUCUCGAUUAAUGGAUUAGUUGUUUGGUCUCUAAAAUGUCAGGAGAAGAUAUUCAGUUUACUGUCACAGAGGAUUGAAGAAACUAGAAAAUAUUCACUGGAAUCAGAGAUUUUUUUACUUUUAUUUUGAAUGAGUCAAACCGAUUAUCAAAAUAGUUGGCAGUAAAAUUGAAUAGUUGACAACUAAUCAAUUAAGCGAUUAAUCUUUGCAGCUCUAAAGUACAUAAAUGCAUACAAUACCAACACAUAUACACAUCCACACAUCCACUCCCGUACAGACAUAUCAAUAUCCAAUGCAAGUCAGACCAAAGGCAGAGGUAAAGAAGCCCUGUGGAGUUUACAGUCAGUCUUCCUCACCAAGACACUUUUUGAAGUAUUUGAAAUCCUGCGUUGUUUACAUCCAUGCUUAUAGCUAGCAGUCUUUGUCUUCUCUGCCUUUGCUGGCAAACUGCAGCUGAUCUUGACUACAGCGGUCUAAAACUCCACAGGGAACCUUUCACUGAUGUAUUUAGCUCCGUGCUGCACUGUAUCAUCCAUCUCUGUGGACCACAGCUUUGUGUAAACAUUAGGGCUGUCCUCGGCUUCGGGUGACUUCAUGUCCGCCUGAAUCACGAAGUGAAGCCACAGCAGUCAGCCUUUUUCCAUAAACUGUGAAGACUGUGAAUUUAAACAAAAACAAAAGAACUUAACAUCUCCUGAAAAUCUUGUUUUUGUUGCCCUGCAAUGGUUUAACUUCUGAGCCUGUGACAGUGGCGUGCAGGUGUCCUCCAGGCUGUGUCAGCACACCGUGACAUCACUGUUGGCCGUGGUUUACGGUUGGAACAGAAGGCGGUUUCAGCCUGGUGGGAAAUUACUCUUUAAAGGAAUACUGAAAGGAAAAUCUAUUGUUUUUUUACAGCAGAAGAAUGUGUACAAACCUGCACAGAAACAUCUGAAAACCACUCUGCCAUUAAAUCAUGUGCUCAGUAGAGAGAUGUACCCAAAUGCAAAUACGUUUUUCAGAUCAGAUUCUCGAUUGGUUGGUUGAUUGAUUGAUUAAUUCGAUUGAUUGUUUGGUCUAUGAAAUAUCAGAAAACUCUUCAUCACAAGUUCCCAGAGCCCAAAGAGGUGUCUUCAGAUGUUUUAUCCCAUCAACAGACAAAAACUCAAAGAGAUUUCAUCUACAUUCACAGAAGACAAAGAGAAGCCGCAAAUAUUCACAUUUGAGGAGUUAGAACCAGGUAAUUUUUUCAUUUUAGUGUUAACAUUACUCAAACAAUUGAUCAACUACCAAAAUAGCUGGAGAUUAAUUCUCCAUCGAUUGACUAAUCUUUUAAUCAACUAUUGGUUUCAGCUCUAGAGAACUUCCUUUGGCUGUUUUAAUGUAACGCCACUGUGCCUGCUGUAAAAACGAUUUUACGUGGAGUAUUCCUUUAAAGGUCAUAUUCAAUAACUGUUUUAUGUACAAAGAAAGCUGGACUGACGGUAUUAGAUUUUAUUUUCAGCGAGUGCAGCUUUUAAUCAACCACUAUCUGUCACAAGUGACCUACAGCUGAGCCUCCACCGGUGAGACCAGCAUCAUCAUGUCGCAUCAUGAGUCCUUUUUAACUUUGUAGUUUGUAUCGUGUGGCACAUUUUUCCUACCUGAGCCUCGAGGUGUGUGUGUGUGUGUGUGUGUGUGUGUGUGUGUGUGUGUGUGUGUUUUCAACUGAGGAUGUAAAUAAUCUUAUUUAUUAUGACAUGGUCCUUGAGCACGUUUGCACUUUUUUAAAUGUGAUCUGUUUGCAUUUCAAGGAGAUGCAUCAGUUUUAUAUUCUGACAUGAUAAUCUCAUUUAAACUGACUUUUCUUUUUGUUAUCAUUUGUAUUUUUG
rnacentral:lncRNA from 1 species